rnacentral:rRNA from 1 species
GACGAACGCUGGCGGCGUGCCUAAUACGUGCAAGUUGAGCGCUGAAGGUUGGUACUUGUACCGACUGGAUGAGCAGCGAACGGGUGAGUAACGCGUGGGGAAUCUGCCUUUGAGCGGGGGACAACAUUUGGAAACGAAUGCUAAUACCGCAUAAAAACUUUAAACACAAGUUUUAAGUUUGAAAGAUGCAAUUGCAUCACUCAAAGAUGAUCCCGCGUUGUAUUAGCUAGUUGGUGAGGUAAAGGCUCACCAAGGCGAUGAUACAUAGCCGACCUGAGAGGGUGAUCGGCCACAUUGGGACUGAGACACGGCCCAAACUCCUACGGGAGGCAGCAGUAGGGAAUCUUCGGCAAUGGACGAAAGUCUGACCGAGCAACGCCGCGUGAGUGAAGAAGGUUGUCGGACCGUAAAACUCUGUUGGUAGAGAAGAACGUUGGUGAGAGUGGAAAGCUCAUCAAGUGACGGUAACUACCCAGAAAGGGACGGCUAACUACGUG